UACAGAGGUCUCAAGCGUUGUUCGGAUUCAUUGGGCGUAAAGGGUGCGUAGGCGGCGCGGUAAGUCGGGUGUGAAAUCUUGGAGCUUAACUCCGAAACUGCAUUCGAUACUGCCGUGCUUGAGGACUGGAGAGGAGACUGGAAUUUACGGUGUAGCGGUGAAAUGCGUAGAUAUCGUAAGGAAGACCAGUGGCGAAGGCGGGUCUCUGGGCUGACACUGACGCUCAUGCACGAAAGCGUGGGGAGCAAACAGG
rnacentral:rRNA from 1 species